rnacentral:rRNA from 1 species
AGUCGAACGGCAGCACAGGAGAGCUUGCUCUCUGGGUGGCGAGUGGCGGACGGGUGAGGAAUACGUCGGAAUCUGCCUAUUUGUGGGGGAUAACGUAGGGAAACUUACGCUAAUACCGCAUACGACCUACGGGUGAAAGCGGAGGACCUUCGGGCUUCGCGCAGAUAGAUGAGCCGACGUCGGAUUAGCUAGUUGGCGGGGUAAAGGCCCACCAAGGCGACGAUCCGUAGCUGGUCUGAGAGGAUGAUCAGCCACACUGGAACUGAGACACGGUCCAGACUCCUACGGGAGGCAGCAGUGGGGAAUAUUGGACAAUGGGCGCAAGCCUGAUCCAGCCAUGCCGCGUGUGUGAAGAAGGCCUUCGGGUUGUAAAGCACUUUUGUACGGGAAGAAAAGCACUCGGUUAAUACCCGGGUGUCAUGACGGUACCGUAAGAAUAAGCACCGGCUAACUUCGUGCCAGCAGCCGCGGUAAUACGAAGGGUGCAAGCGUUACUCGGAAUUACUGGGCGUAAAGCGUGCGUAGGUGGUUUGUUAAGUCUGAUGUGAAAGCCCUGGGCUCAACCUGGGAAUUGCAUUGGAUACUGGCAGUCUAGAGUGCGGUAGAGGGUAGCGGAAUUCCCGGUGUAGCAGUGAAAUGCGUAGAUAUCGGGAGGAACAUCCGUGGCGAAGGCGGCUACCUGGACCAGCACUGACACUGAGGCACGAAAGCGUGGGGAGCAAACA